rnacentral:lncRNA from 1 species
UUACUAUUAAUGUAAUUGCUUUUAGCUGUGAAGUAUUUAUUUUAUCUCCAAGAGCCUACAAAAGGCAAGGGGACAAAAAGAUUUUUUAUGACGGCAACCCUAGCGCGGCUGACGGCUAGGGUUUCUUCUGGCUUGAGGGCUGUGACCCAGGCCCAAUCUGGGACAGGCCCAAUAUGGGAACAAUAAGGCACAAUCUGGGCUGGGAAG